AGAGGAUGGUAGUAAGAAAAGACAGUUCAUGCCUCACCCACAUCGUGCACACCCAGCUCCCUCUCCCCCACAUGAAUCCACACAAACACAUCAUCUCUUUUAAACCCAUGUCCAGCUGAACACGAGGUGUCAGUGUCUUCACUAUAGGUCUAAGAGGAUCAUAAUUCUAAAUUUAGGAUACGUGGCAAAUACAUUGACGAAAAUCUAGACAGAAAGCACAUCUGGAGAAAACGGAAUCUAUCAUUUUCAAAAUUACCAACGCUGCUCUUACACAUUUGAACUACUUUACUUACAGCACUUGCGAGAUGCAUAUUUUCAAAGAAUUUGAUCAUUUAUGACUUACAACUGUUUUAUAGUCAGUGUCUUUUCAUCAUUUUGUGUUAUUGGAAGAUGUCAGAAGAGCAGUGGAAGUUAUGCUCCUGGUUUCACUAGGACAAGCAGGUGUCAUCUAGACUUUCAUACAUGGGAGGCAAAGCCAAGCAGAGUGUGGCGUCCUUGCUAAAAAGGUCAUAGAAGGAGCAGUCAUAAAACACAUGGGAGGAAUCAGGGAACUCCUAGGGAGAAAUGGUAAACUCCUAGGAAGAAUUUGAAACGAAGGGAAACUAAAAGCAGUGGAUGCUGUUUGUAGGCGACACUGUGAAUAUCCUUAUGAAAAAAGUCUUCCUUCUCUCAUGUUCUGGCCUCCUAACAGAAAAGUGAAUAUUCUCCAAGGUGUGCUAUGAACAGCGCAAGGAGUCAAAGUAGGAUGUAAUUAUGGAAGCAAGUUUUUCUGUGAUUUAUUAGCAAAAGUUAACAACAGAUUCUCUUAUUAAGUAUUUUCCUGUAUUUCAAAAUAGUACCUCUGAAGAUCAAGAAUGUAGGCAGUAGUCUCAGAAAGUUAUUAAAACUCUUUUUCCUUUUCCUUACACCCAUGUGCAGUAGAUUCUCAGUAAAUAAGAAAAUCACUUUAGCUAAGAGGUAGAUCGCCAUUAAAAAAAAGACACUACAUUUCUGGGUUUUGUUGCUGUUAGAGGGAGAGAUGGUAUAUUCUGUGUUUAAAUACAAAAUCAUAGGGAAGUUACAUGGCUGAACGCAGAUAAUCAUACCCUACAAUGGGGCCUCAGUAGUUGGUUCAAUGGUCAGGGAUAUGAAUGCCCAAGCAGAAAUGACUGAAAGACAUGUACAGAAGAAGAAAAUUUUAUUCUUGUCCGUCUUAAGGUCACUACCACCCUGUGAACUGGAUAGGUCCCAGAUCCGAUUGUAACCAUGCGUGGUGAUGAGUGUUGCCUUUCUUAUCGUGGUGGUCAUUUCUCAAUAUAUACGUUACAUUGUACACCUGAAACAAAUAUAACAUGUGUGCCAAUUGCACUGAAAAUUUUUUUAAAAAGAAAAAAGAAAAAUAGCUGAGUCUCAUCCUCCUUUCCCCUCACACGUUAAAAAAAUACACCUAAUUUUACCUCUCUCGGCAUCUUUAUAAUCAGUACAUUUAUCGUCAUCCUAAUGGAACUAGUUAAAAUCAUCAUCAUUUCUUGGGGUUAUUACCACACAGUAGUUUACAGUCCUCAAAAGUAUGAGCUCUGCAGCCAAUUGUGUUGAAACCCAGCUGAGUAACUUAUUUCCUCUGUAAUCAAAGGAACAUCAACAAGCGUUUUUUAUCUAUAAAAGAUAAUACAGAUAAAAACAUUAACUAUGUUGUUCGUUUUAAACCGACCUUGAACACUUUGAGCCUAUUCCGGAGAUGCUGUGUUAUCCGUAACUCUUUAGAUAUUAGGAGAGUGGUCUUUCUAAAAUGGCUGAAAUCCGCAUGUUUAUUCCAGGAUCAUACGGCCCUUCUUAAGUGUGAUCUUACUCAUUCGCUAAGCUUUCGUCUUAGCCUUCUUUCUCUCCAACUGAUCUUGUCUUUCCCGUCCUCCUCUUCUGUUCCUCUUCUUUCCCCGUUUCCCUCCGCUGUGUCCUGUGGAUGCCCUGGGAGCUGGGAGAGGGAGAAGACUCACCAGACGGAGCGCUGGGAUGGACCCUGACUCUCUUUUGUCUCCAUCUCUUGGUCUUUAUGCGGGUGCUGCUCUUUGCUGGGAGAUGCUUUCAGUAGAAACCCCCAGAGCCAGUUUUGUGAAAGACAAAAGUUCCCAUCAUGGUGCAGCAGAAACGAAUCUGACUAGGAACCGUGAGGUUGCGGGUUUGAUCCCUGGCCUCGCUCAGUGGGUUAAGGAUCCCGUGUGGCUGUGGCUGUGGUGUAGGCUGGUGGCUGCAGCUCCGAUUAGACCCCUAGCCUGGGAACCUCCAUAUGCCAUAGGUGC
rnacentral:lncRNA from 1 species